UCUCGAAUAGUAUAGUGGUCAGUAUUUCGGCUUGUCAAGGACACCAGUCCAAACAGCGCCGGAGGCCGGGGUUCGAUUCCCCGUUCGAGAG